GUCCAAACAUGGUGGCAACGGGUAACGGAGGGUUAGGGCUCGACCCCGGAGAAGGAGCCUGAGAAACGGCUACUACAUCCAAGGAAGGCAGCAGGCGCCCAAAUUACCCAAUCCCGACACGGGGAGGUAGUCACAAUAAAUACUGAUACAGGGCUCUUUUGGGUCUUGUAAUCGGAAUGAGUACAAUUUAAAUCCCUUAACGAGGAACAAUUGGAGGGCAAGUCUGGUGCCAGCAGCCGCGGUAAUUCCAGCUCCAAUAGCGUAUAUUAAAGUUGUUGUGGUUAAAAAGCUCGUAGUUGAACCUUGGGCCUGGCUGGCCGGUCCGCCUCACCGCGUGCACUGGUCCGGCCGGGCCUUUCCCUCUGCGGAACCCCAUGCCCUUCACUGGGUGUGGCGGGGAAACAGGACUUUUACUUUGAAAAAAUUAGAGUGCUCAAGGCAGGCCUAUGCUCGAAUACAUUAGCAUGGAAUAAUAGAAUAGGACGUGUGGUUCUAUUUUGUUGGUUUCUAGGACCGCCGUAAUGAUUAAUAGGGACAGUCGGGGGCAUCAGUAUUCAAUUGUCAGAGGUGAAAUUCUUGGAUUUAUUGAAAACUAACUACUGCGAAAGCAUUUGCCAAGGAUGUUUUCAUUAAUCAGGAACGAAAGUUAGGGGAUCGAAGACGAUCAGAUACCGUCGUAGUCUUAACCAUAAACUAUGCC
rnacentral:rRNA from 1 species